rnacentral:rRNA from 1 species
GUGUCAGCAGCCGCGGUAAUACGAAGGGGGCGAGCGUUAUUCGGAAUCACUGGGCGUAAGGCGUGCGUAGGCGGUUUUGAAAGUUGGAAGUGAAAGCCCAGGGCUCAACCCUGGAAUUGCUCUCAAAACUACAAGACUUGGAUUCGGGAGAGGAUAGCGGAAUUGUCAGUGUAGCAGUGAAAUGCGUAGAUAUUGACAGGAACACCAGUGGCGCAAGCGGCUAUCUGGACCGACAUCGACGCUGAGGCACGAAAGCGUGGGGAUCAAACAGGAUUAGAUACCCUAGUAGUCC